GGCUGGUUCGAGUGCAGUGGUAUUGACAACUAAUUGAUGACAUCCAGUUACAGAUUUCUUUGUUCCUUCUUCACUCCUGCUGGUUCACUUUACUAGCCUUAA
rnacentral:Y_RNA from 1 species